GCCUUCAUGGUGCAACGGUAGCACACUCGGCUCGCAUUUGAGAGGACCAGGUUCGAGUCCCGGGGAGAGUA
rnacentral:tRNA from 1 species